UUAAUCGGGUAAAACCCGGGAAUCGAACCCGGGCCGCAGGCGUGGCAGGCGAGCAUUCUACCACUGAACCACCGAUGC
rnacentral:tRNA from 1 species